UACGAAGGGGGCUAGCGUUGUUCGGAAUCACUGGGCUUAAAGGGCGCGUAGGCGGGCAAGCAAGUCCGGGGUGAAAUCUUUCGGCCCAACCGGAAAAGGGCCUUGGAUACUGCUUGUCUGGAGGGAGGUAGGGGCAGACGGAACUUCCGGUGGAGCGGUGAAAUGCGUUGAUAUCGGAAGGAACGCCGGUGGCGAAAGCGGCUCACUGGACCAUAACUGACGCUGAUGCACGAAAGCUAGGGGAGCAAACAGG
rnacentral:rRNA from 1 species